GAGACUUGAUUCUAUCCAUGGGUUGUUGAUUGGAUGGUGGAAGAUAUGAAUGCGAGCUUUAGGUUGAUCCUAUGCAUGGAUGACUAGUUCAAUAAUAUGCAUUUAGAACAUCUGAUGCCAACUUUAAGUCAUCAUCCAUUUUGCAUGUCUGUCUUCCCUCACCUCUAGUUUGUCUAUCACUCCAUCCAUCUCUGGUAAUGACAUCAUCAUCCCUGUUGGAAUGUUUGUGUCACCCUUCUUCCAUUCCUCAUAUCCCAGGGCACUGAAUUAUGGCACACUGGGAUCUCUGAUGGCUAAAGAUCUUCUCCACCUUCUGUUCCCUGAUAUCCACAUGCAGGCCAACAAUCCAGAGUCAGACAGCAUGUGCAUAUGGUCCCAUUAUCUGAGUGUGACCAGGGAUCCAGGAUGGGUCGGCACAUUCUCUCUUUCCCCCUCUAAACAGCAGGAGGUUUGGGUGCAGUACUCUGCUCUACAAGUGGCACUGAGUGCUUAUAAGAUGAGUUUCACAAGGCAUCCAGCAGACUCAUCUCUAUCAGGCCUUUCUUACCUUCACCUGUUCCUCUCCUCCUUUACAAAGGUAACGUGUGACGCUGACUCCUACCAUGAGUUCAUGCCCUUUGAACCUUCCUUCCUGGUGACAGUCCUGUGUUCAAACUCCGGCUUCUGCCCCAAAACGCUGACCUGUGUGAAUAAAUCUCAGAGUUAUCCUCAUGAGAUGUGUCAGAGUCGAACGCUGCACUAAAUCUGGGAGGAACUCGUGUCUGCUGAGACCUUUUGGAGCUUGUUUGGGAUUAUUGAACCAUUGGAGCUGCUCACUGUUUAGUAAAAGAAGGUCAUUCCAGAGAUCAUAAAGCUUUUUAUAUUCACUUGUUAAGUAAUGGGUUUUGGAAAAGUCACGGAUACAUACAUUUAAGCAAUAUUAUCACAUUUGAUAAAUCAUGUACAGAAUGAUGAACAGUUAAAGCCUGGUGGAUGUGUUCUCUCACAGCACUUAGAAAAUUGACCAUGCUUUUACUAUAGUAUUGAAUUUUGGGGGAGAUGUUGAUUCAUACAAAAUAAUAUUUUUGGGAAGGGAGGGAAUCUCAUACAUUUUUUUUAACUACAACUAGCAUAGUUUGUUUACAGAGUUACACUGGUUUACAUGUGGUUACUGUAAAUACCACAGUUAAACUGGUUACUAUACAAGAUUUAUGGUACAUUUUUACCAAGGAAGGAGAGCAUUUCACCAAGUAAAAGUGAUUCCAGUUGUAAUUCAUUAAUGAUGGAUAAUUGUGCUCUUUAUUCUCGCUAUUGUAAAUACAGUUUGAUGUCUAAAGUCUGAAUGUAUCAUGAAUGCCACUCUUAUUUUUGAAAUGUAUUAUGUUUGGAUGAAACAUAAAAAAAAGUAUUUUUUGCAUGUGUGCUUUUUGGUCUGUAGUCAAGGAAUUUC
rnacentral:lncRNA from 1 species